rnacentral:rRNA from 1 species
AGAGUUUGAUCAUGGCUCAGAACGAACGCUGGCGGCAUGCCUAACACAUGCAAGUCGAACGAGACCUUCGGGUCUAGUGGCGCACGGGUGCGUAACGCGUGGGAAUCUGCCCUUCGGUUCGGAACAACAGUUAGAAAUGACUGCUAAUACCGGAUAAUGACGUAAGUCCAAAGAUUUAUCGCCGAAGGAUGAGCCCGCGUAAGAUUAGGUAGUUGGUGGGGUAAUGGCCUACCAAGCCGACGAUCUUUAGCUGGUCUGAGAGGAUGAUCAGCCACACUGGGACUGAGACACGGCCCAGACUCCUACGGGAGGCAGCAGUGGGGAAUAUUGGACAACGGGCGAAAGCCUGAUCCAGCAAUGCCGCGUGAGUGAUGAAGGCCUUAGGGUUGUAAAGCUCUUUUACCAGGGAUGAUAAUGACAGUACCUGGAGAAUAAGCUCCGGCUAACUCCGUG